UGUUGGUUCAUUUUAACAUUUCUCUCUUAUGCCAUAAUAUUCUUGCUAAAAGCGCUACAUUUUGGCGUUUAUACCCGCCACUGCAAUUGUUUUAAUGUUUUUUUUAGUUUUUUUUUUUUUAUAAAACUAUAAGAGAAUAUGAGAGUAAAAGCAAGUGAUGCUUUUCAUCAUCAUACGAGAGUGAGAGUAUACGAAACCCUAACAAUUGCCGUUGUUCAUCUCCACACGACGAAGCCAUUGUUGUUGAUCUAGUUUUCUAGUUUUGAUAUGAGGGUUUGCGUCGCGAUUCAUCUUCGCACUGCUGCAAGUGACGUUGUUAUUGCUGCGUACGAUUGAACUUCUGUGAUCUGGUUCUUCAACUUCGAUCCGAAGUUUGCCACCGCCACAAGCGGCGCUGUUGUUGCUGGCCUCCAAUUGUGCUUCUGCGAUUUGGUUUUGCUAUUUUGUGAAUUAUUAAUUAUUAAUUUGAUCUACUUUAUCUUUUGAUUUUUCCUUCUUCUUCAUACUUUUAGAUCUAGUUCAUGCUCUAAUAGGAAGAAACAGAGAAUGCCUGUUCUUUUUCCUUGUUGUGUAUUUUUACUUUGAUUGAUCUUCUGCGUUAAUAAUUUCAGAGAAUAAUGGAGGUUGAUAUGCUCUCUGCUUUUGAACUAUUCUCCUUCGGAGAUUUUUGAUUAACGUCCUCCUCAGAUUACUCGCAACUCUCUCCCAAUGUCGAUCCUCACGCGCCUUCACGCGCUGCUCUCAGAGUUCAAAAGGUUUACCGCAGCUACCGUACUCGCCGCCGCUUGGCCGAUUCCGCUGUCGUCGCCGAAGAGCUCUGCGCUGCUUCUCGCUGGAGCCGUGUUCGUCUCAAUGCUUCCAAGGUGGGUAAAGGUUUGUCCUUAGAUGCCCAAGCUCAAAAGUUGGCUUUUCAGCACUGGAUUGAAGCUAUUGAUCCACGCCAUCGUUAUGGACACAACUUGCAUUACUAUUAUGAAGAAUGGUGUAAAACGGAUUCUAGUUAACCAUUCUUCUAUUGGUGAGACUUAUUUAUUUAUUUACCAUUUUUUUGUCAAUUUAUUUUUUUCUCUUCAAGGAAAGCCCUUUACUAUUUUCUCAGAGAUUCGGCUGAAACCAUAGUGGGUUGGUUGGUUUAGUUUGGACUCACAUUGCAAAUCAUCUUGUACAUUGAAUUAUUUUCAUAUUGUGUGGAAUUUAUCAUCAUGAAAGGAGAUAACCUUACAGGGCUGUUUCCUGGAUCAUCAUUGGAUAUUGGAAGCCUCCACUUGGACUCCAAACAAUUGUCUCAAAUAACAUUGAACCUGCCUGCUAAUGCAUUUGCUUCCAAAAUUAUCCUGUGGAUAAUAGUACUUAGCCCCUUCACCAAAUAUCCUUAUUUUUAGCCACAUGCUAAUACUUAUCUAUGAAAGUAGAGCAAGGCUUGUUCAUGUUCAUGGAACUUUUUUAGACUAAAUUUUCUUAAUUUUAAACAAAUAUGCUUUGACCACGAACCCGCUUGCAAGGAGUCUGGAGGAGUUGCUACCCCAUAGAAUUUCAAGUACCACUUGGUGUUUCAUGCCGCUCAGAACAAUAUUGGUUAUGGCUACACUUUUAACUGCUUUUCUAAUUCCUUAUUUUGAUGAGGGCCAAAAGGGCAGUUGUUGUUAUGCUUGCAAGAUCAAAAGAAAGUGUAAAGAUAGAAGAUAUUAACAUGACUGAGGAGGAAAGAACUGAGAAAGAACAGAAGGAGCUUAUGCCUUUACUCACGGGCGAAAAAUUGAAGUCUUAUCAGCUGAAAGGUGUAAAGUUGUUGAUUUCACUGCAAAAUAAUAUGUAUUAAGAGUUAUAUAUUAAGACUUUCAAUACUUUAUUUGUAUAGGAGUUAUUAUUUUUUAUUUUCAAUACUAAAAUAUUAUAUAUUAUGUUUAAUUUUUUUUGUGAGUUAUGUAAUAUUUUGUUGAUGAGUGA